rnacentral:lncRNA from 1 species
ACAUUACCUAUUGCAUCUCUCUUUGUUCUAAACACCGACUUACAACCAAUUGAAGCUUGAUUUGAUGGAAGUUGAAAGAAUUCUCAUAUUUUAUUAUCCAUGAGUGAUUGCUAUUCUUCUCCCACGGUUUUUUUUCCACUUCAAAGCAUCUGUGGACUUCAUUGCAUCACACAAACUCAAUAGAUCAGUUUGAAGUGCAACAUUGGUAUAUUCUUCACUUACUUGAAGAAAGAUAUGAUUAUUCCACUAUUUGCUACCUUAUUUUCUAUCUCUCAAAGGAUAUCUCCUUUCAUUUGAAGAAGACUCAACUUGUUGUAUUCUAUUGUCUCCUCCAACCUUCUUUUCUUUUGUAGAUAAUCUUUUCUCACUCAAAGAUUGAUAAUCCUCAUCACUAUCAUCAUCAAUAUCUUUAUACUCGUCACAACUAGUCUUAGCAUUUUCAAAGGCCUUGUUAUCCACCUUCUUUGCCUCUUUAUCUUUAUUUCUACCUUUACAACCAUCAUUGUCUUCAUCUUCUUCUUUCUUUAUUGAAUCUAAAGAUGUAUCCACAA